GAUGAACGCUGGCGGCGUGCCUAAUACAUGCAAGUCGAGCGAACAGACGAGGAGCUUGCUCCUCUGACGUUAGCGGCGGACGGGUGAGUAACACGUGGAUAACCUACCUAUAAGACUGGGAUAACUUCGGGAAACCGGAGCUAAUACCGGAUAAUAUAUUGAACCGCAUGGUUCAAUAGUGAAAGACGGUUUUGCUGUCACUUAUAGAUGGAUCCGCGCCGCAUUAGCUAGUUGGUAAGGUAACGGCUUACCAAGGCAACGAUGCGUAGCCGACCUGAGAGGGUGAUCGGCCACACUGGAACUGAGACACGGACCAGACUCCUACGGGAGGCAGCAGUGGGGAAUCUUCCGCAAUGGGCGAAAGCCUGACGGAGCAACGCCGCGUGAGUGAUGAAGGUCUUCGGACCGUAAAACUCUGUUAUUAGGGAAGAACAAAUGUGUAAGUAACUAUGCACGUCUUGACGGUACCUAAUGAGUAAGCCCCGGCUAACUACGUG
rnacentral:rRNA from 1 species